rnacentral:rRNA from 1 species
AACGUAGGGGCCAGCGUUGCUCGGAAUUACUGGGCGUAAAGGGUCCGUAGGCGGUGUGGCAAGUCGGAAGUGAAAUCUCUGGGCUUAACCCAGAGGCUGCUUCCGAACUGCUGCGCUAGAGUGUGAGAGAGGCGAGUGGAAUUGCGGGUGUAGCGGUGAAAUGCGUAGAUAUCAGGAAGAACACCCGUGGCGAAGGCGGCUCUCUGGGACGGUACUGACGCUGAGACGCGAAAGCGUGGGGAGCGAACAGG